rnacentral:rRNA from 1 species
AGAGUUGAUCUGGCGUCAGGAUGAACGCUGGCGGCGUGCCUAACACAUGCAAGUCGAGCGGAGUUAAGAGAAGAUUCUUCGGAUGAUUCUGUUAACUUAGCGGCGGAUGGGUGAGUAACACGUGGGUAAUCUGCCCUGCACAGGGGGAUAACAGCUGGAAACGGCUGUUAAUACCGCAUAUGCACACGUUAUCGCAUGAUAGAGUGUGGAAAGAUUUAUCGGUGCAGGAUGAGCCCGCGUCGGAUUAACUAGUUGGCAGGGUAACGGCCUACCAAGGUGAUGAUCCGUAGCCGGCCUGAGAGGGCGACCGGCCACAUUGGGACUGAGACACGGCCCAAACUCCUACGGGAGGCAGCAGUGGGGAAUAUUGCACAAUGGGCGCAAGCCUGAUGCAGCGACGCCGCGUGAAGGAAGACGUAUUUCGGUAUGUAAACUUCUAUCAGCGGGGAAGAAGAUGACGGUACCCGACUAAGAAGCCCCGGCUAACUACGUGCCAGCCGCCGC